CUACGGGGGGCUCCAGUGGGGAAUAUUGCACAAUGGGCGCAAGCCUGAUGCAGCAACGCCGCGUGAGGGAUGAAGGCCUUCGGGUUGUAAACCUCUUUUAGCAGGGAAGAAGCGAAGGUGACGGUACCUGCAGAAAAAGCACCGGCUAACUACGUGCCAGCAGCCGCGGUAAUACGUAGGGUGCAAGCGUUGUCCGGAAUUAUUGGGCGUAAAGAGCUCGUAGGCGGUUUGUCACGUCUGCUGUGAAAAUCCAAGGCUCAACCUUGGACUUGCAGUGGGUACGGGCAGGCUAGAGUGCGGUAGGGGAGAUGGGAAUUCCUGGUGUAGCGGUGGAAUGCGCAGAUAUCAGGAGGAACACCAAUGGCGAAGGCACAUCUCUGGGCCGUAACUGACGCUGAGGAGCGAAAGCGUGGGGAGCGAACAGGAUUAGAUACCCGUGUAGUC
rnacentral:rRNA from 1 species